GGAAAAGAAACCAACAGGGAUUGCCCUAGUAACGGCGAGUGAAGCGGCAACAGCUCAAAUUUGAAAUCUGGCCCUUGGGUCCGAAUUGUAAUUUGUAGAGGAUGAUUUUGGUGCGGUAUCUUCCGAGUUCCUUGGAACAGGACGCCUUAGAGGGUGAGAGCCCCGUACGGUUGAAUGCCUAGCCUCUGUAAAUCUCCUUCGACGAGUCGAGUAGUUUGGGAAUGCUGCUCUAAAUGGGAGGUAAAUUUCUUCUAAAGCUAAAUACUGGCCAGAGACCGAUAGCGCACAAGUAGAGUGAUCGAAAGAUGAAAAGCACUUUGAAAAGAGGGUUAAAUAGCACGUGAAAUUGUUGAAAGGGAAGGAUUUAUGACCAGACUUUUUCUGGGCGGAUCAUCCGGUGUUCUCACCGGUGCACUUUGCCCAGUUUAGGCCAGCAUCGAUUUUCGGAGAGGGAUAAAAGCUUUGGGAAUGUGGCUCCUCCGGGAGUGUUAUAGCCCAUUGUAUAAUACCUUUCUGGGGAUCGAGGUACGCGCUUCUGCAAGGAUGCUGGCGUAAUGGUUAUCAAUCACCCGUCUUGAAACACGGACCAAGGAGUCGAACAUUUGUGCAAGUGUUUGGGUGUUAAACCCUCACGCGUAAUGAAAGUGAACGGAGGUGAGAGCCCUUACGGGUGCAUCAUCGACCGAUCCUGAAGUUUUCGGAUGGAUUUGAGUAAGAGCAUAACUGUUCGGACCCGAAAGAUGGUGAACUAUGCGUGGAUAGGGUGAAGCCAGAGGAAACUCUGGUGGAGGCUCGCAGCGGUUCUGACGUGCAAAUCGAUCGUCAAAUCUGCGCAUGGGGGCGAAAGACUAAUCGAACCAUCUAGUAGCU
rnacentral:rRNA from 1 species